GAGUGGAGGCAGCGGCGGAGCGCUUGGCACGGGGUGUCCGCUCGGAGGAUGGUCCCCGCGGUGGGGCUGCCGCUGCUCAGCCCGCCCAGCCCCGCUGCUCUCUUCUCCGAAACCAUGCCAGAGAUGACAGAGAAUGAGACGCCUACUAAGAAGCAACAUCGAAAGAAAAACCGUGAGACACAUAAUGCAGUGGAGAGACAUCGAAAGAAGAAGAUUAAUGCUGGGAUAAACAGAAUUGGAGAACUCAUUCCCUGCUCUCCAGCACUUAAGCAGAGCAAGAACAUGAUCCUGGAUCAGGCCUUUAAGUAUAUAACAGAAAUGAAAAGACAGAAUGAUGAACUUCUCUUAAAUGGAGGGAACAAUGAACAGGCUGAAGAGAUAAAAAAACUCCGGAAACAGUUGGAUGAACUGCAAAAGGAAAAUGGGAGAUACAUCGAACUACUGAAAGCAAAUGAUAUUUGCCUGUACGAUGACCCUACAAUCCACUGGAAGGGAAAUCUCAAAAACGCAAAGGUCUCGGUUGUUAUUCCUGGUGAUCAGGUUCAAAAGAACAUCAUUGUCUAUUCAAAUGGGAGUCAACCCAAUGGAAAUAACCAGGGAGCGCCUGUCCAGGGAAUAACAUUUAAUGUCGGUCAUAAUUUACAAAAGCAAACAGCCAAUGUUGUGCCAGUCCAGAGAACUUGCAACCUAGUGACUCCAGUGACAAUUUCUGGUAUUUACCCCGCAGAAAACAAGCCAUGGUCGCAAGCUACAGUUUCUCCGCUGGCAUCUGCUCAAACAGCUCCAGCAGGGAAUAUUCUGGAGCUCCCCACCCCAGAGGACGAGCGAGGCGUGCUCACCGCUGCUACUGCCAGCUCUCAGAGCACAUCUCGAGCUGGAACAGAGCAGGAGCUACAGUGUUCCUCAAGUAACGCACCACAGAAUGAUCAGAAUCUCCCCAAAAGCAAAAAUGAUGAGGAGGGCACUAAAUUAACAAAGAAAACGCUCCUGCAGGGAAUCAGCCUUCCUUCUAGUGCCUCCACGGAAGCCUCCCAGGUUCAGCAGGUGAAUGCAACUUGCUCAAGUACACACAGUUCUAGGAGUGACCUUCAGGAAAGCUGUGUCAUUUCAACCACAGACACAACUUGUGUGCCCUCUGUGAGACUGUCUACUGCAGAUAGUUUUUCCUCUGUAAAUGUCCUCAAAAGUACAGAUUUAGUAAGUAGUGCUGGCAUGCCCGUGACUUCUGCAGAAGGAGUUAAGGCUGUGACGGCAAUAAGCACUCUGCCUGCCAGUCCCUUAGAGAACUGCUGGUCUUUUUCAGGCUCUUCAGGUGUUGGCACUUCAGACUUGAAAAACAUGAGUAGCCUUACACGGAUGCCUUCAGCUGGAAACACACAGACCACGUGGACGACUCUGCAGCUAGCGGGAAAUACUGUUCAGCCACUAAGCCAAACCCCGUCCAGUCUAAUGACUGCACUAUUAAAUGAGCCAGCUAACGGUGCUGGUACUCUGUCUUCUGCUCACAGCAGGCCUCUGACUACAAGUAUCAGUUUGAAUACUUCUCUUCCUGGGGAUGGCCAGGCAGCUGAACAGAUUGUAGUUACCUUGCCCUCAUGCCCUCCCUUACCUAUGCAGCCAUUAAUCAGCCAGCCACAGGUUAAAACUCAGGCUGCAGGAAAUAUCCUUCCAUUAAAUUCAGCUAUGCAGGUGAUUCAGAUGGCUCAGCCGGUGGCAUCAGCCGUUACAGGAGCACCAGCUAACCAGAAUGUCAUCAUUCUCCAGCCUCCGAACCCAGCUCCGUGCCCUCCAAUUGUGAGAGCAGAAGUACCCAGCCAAAACGUUAGUCAGCAGAUUGUAAUUAUACAAGCUGCUAACCAGAAUCCUCUUCCCCUCCUCUCCGCUCAGCCUUCUGCUUCUGUGAGAGCUUCCAUGAAUGGGCCGACUGCCAUUGCGAACUCUAGCAGCUCCGUGCAAAACGCCUCUCUUCCACAGACAUUUGGAGGGAAACACCUUGUCCAUAUAUUACCAAGACCAUCUUCUUUGCCAUCUUCUAGUUCUACACAGACGUUUUCAGUUACAGUGUCCAAUCAACAGCAUCCGCAAACUAUCUCAUUAAACGGGCAGCUUUUUGCACUGCAGCCUGUGAUGUCUUCAUCUGGAGCUUCAAGUCAAGCCCCUAUGCAAAUUAUUCAACCCACCACCAGCGAAGAUCCAAAUACCAAUGUUGCCCUCAAUACGUUUGGUGCUUUAGCUAACCUCAAUCAAAGCAUAUCGCAAAUGGCUGGGCAGAGCUGCUUACACUUGUCUCUCAGCCAUCCUACCAAUCCCACAACUGGCAAUAACCAGAUUGCCACAGUUAGCUGUGUGUCAUUACCAGCUUCUGUGGCAUCUUCAGUACCUGCGGAGGUUUCAGUAUUAACCAGUGCAUCUAAUUCAAUAAACGCUUCCCCCAAAAAAGCAGCUGCUGGCUUGCCAUCUAGCACAAAAUCAAAAAGGACAAACAAAAAGCCAAGUACAAAGAAACACCAAGCAGUCAACAGCAAAAUGUCCUGCCCGGCACUUCCUUGCAGAGGCGCAGGGAAGGCGGACUGUGCUCCCGUGGAAAUGGUGGCAAAGCAUUCGACCGGCGAGGGGCUGCUUGAAAACGCUCCAGCGGUGUCCGUGUCGCAGGCCUUAACGACGUCGCGGGUGAGCGGCGUUGUGGCGUCGGGUGGCGUCAGCGUUUCUGAAUGCUGUUCCAAAGAGCCUGCGAGCUCCGAACAGGCAGCCAAAACCCGCUCGGUCCCCGAGCCGAGCUUGGCAGAGGCCCCCGCUUCCUCGGCCCUGGGGUCCGGGGUGCCAGAGCAGCCAGCGCUCGCCCCGCCGCCUGCCAGAGAUGCUGCUCCUCACCAGCAGGCCCAGGGCUCUCAGAACCGCCCGCCAACCAGCUCAGCCUUGUCAGAGUCCCCCAAACCCUGUGAACCCCCCAGCACCUUAACGUCCUCUCAUACCGAAGCACAUGCGACAUGUUCUGGGGUCACUGGGAUGUCAGCAGCACAGAGCAGCACAGCAGGUCAUGCUUCCAAGGCAGGAGCGAUUUCAGAGUCCUGCAACAUCACGGGGGAUUCCUCAGUGGUAAUGCAAGACGCGGACUUGUUAGAAGGACAGGGUCUAACCAAAAUGCUGUCUGAUCUCACAAAAGAAAGAACAGCUGUGGAAAAACCCUCUUCCUUUACUGUUCAGGGCGAACAUUCUAAUUUUCCCAUGGAAAACUCUAAAUCAACAGAAUCAAAUGUUGAUUUGCCUGAGAAGCAAGAACUCUUGCUAAUGAACACGGAAGGUGAUACUCUUCCCCAGCAUCACUCCUGCAUUUCUGAUCAGGAAGUAGUCAGUGCUUCCCUUAUCGCUAGCAGGCAGGCAGACUCCCCGAUGUCAACUAGCUCUGGCAGCAGUCGAGGCUUCUCAGUUGCAUCUAUGUUGCCGGAUACCACGAGAGAAGACAUCACCAGCAGCACCUCAACCAGUACGUGUAACAGCUGCACGUUUUCAGAACAGACUGACAUCGUAGCUCUUGCAGCAAGAGCUAUUUUUGACCAGGAAAACCUUGAGAAAGGUGGAGGAGGAAUACAGGUUAGCAUGAGGGAUGCCAUCUCUAAGUCAGCUGAGGCUGCACCUUUGGAGAGAGAGCAACAGCCUUUUAAACCUCAACCAGUGAAAGAAAACAAUGCAGGGCCGUUGGAAGCGGCACCAAGCAAAUUCAGUGCUCAAGAUACAGUACAGACAAAUGUUGAAAGACAGGUUGAAAAGCCAAGCUGCUCUGUAGGAGGUGCGGUAACAUCAAACACUUCUUUGCACAUUUCCACUUCCCAGUCAGCAAGCAUAACCAGUUUAAGCGUGAAUAAUCUGAUACACCAGAGUCGCAUUGUCCAUCCCCUUGUGAGUUGCUCCACCUUAUCCCAGUCUUCAGAGCCACCGAGUGUCCCUGCAACUGUGAGCCUCUCCCUCCCGUCUAGCACAUACGUCAAUCAGUCUCCAGGACCCGCUAUGCUGAGUGAAUAUGCUCAGGAACAGCUGAAUGCCAUCAGGGCAAGCACCAUGCAAGCUCCCCAGCUGCAGGAACCACACUUAAAGCAGCAAAAUCAUGAAGGCCGCAAAGACUCUGCCAAGCGGGCUGUUCAGGACGACCUUCUGCUUUCUACAGCAAAGAGGCAGAAGCAGUGCCAGACAGUGCCCAUACGGCUUGAGGGGAUGGCACUGAUGAACCGAACACCAGAGAGCAUUGCUGAUCAAACACAGAUGCUAGUCGGCCAGAUUCCUCCUAAUUCAUCCAACCCGGUGGCAUCAGUGAGCAACCAAGGGCACCCCGAUGGCCUUAACAGGUUAUUCCCGCCCAACAGCAACUUCGUAACGCCAGCGUUGAGGCAGCCUGAAGUUCAGUGCAGCUCUCAGCCAUCAAUUUCAGAGCAGCAAGGCCAGGCAGGGCAGCACUUGCAGCCAAUCCAGCAUGUUCCUGCUCAAGGCGUAUCUCACCUUCACAGCAAUCAUCCAUACUUAAAGCAGCAGCAGGCUGGUCAGUUAAGAGAAAGGCACCACUUGUAUCAGCUGCAGCAUCAUGUCACACACGGGGAAAGCUCGGUCCACUCUCAACCCCACAGUGUCCACCAACAGCGAACAAUACAGCAGGAGGUGCAGAUGCAAAAGAAGCGAAAUCUCAUCCAGGGAACACAAGCCACUCAGCUUUCUCUACAGCAAAAACACCACGGGAGUGAUCAAACACGGCAAAAAGGUGGUCAGCCUCACCCUCACCACCAGCAAAUGCAGCAGCAGAUGCAGCAGCACUUCGGAGCUUCCCAGCCUGAAAAGAACUGUGAAAAUCCUGCAACAAGUAGAAACCAUCAUAACCACCCUCAGAGCCAUAUAAAUCAGGAUAUUAUGCAUCAACAGCAACAAGAUGUUAGCAGCAGACAGCAAGGUUCAGCUUCUGAACAUGUGUCAGGGCACAAUCAGAUGCAAAGGCUCAUGACCUCAAGGGGCUUAGAGCAGCAGAUGGUGUCCCAGGCCAGUAUCGUAACCAGACCAUCAGACAUGACCUGCACCCCUCAUAGGCAGGAAAGAAAUAGAGUUUCCAGCUACUCUGCUGAGGCGCUCAUUGGGAAGACACCCUCUAAUUCAGAACAGAGAAUAGGAAUAUCUCUUCAAGGCCCUAGGGUUUCUGACCAGCUUGAAAUGAGAAGCUAUCUUGAUGUUUCUAGAAAUAAAGGGUUGGUGAUUCAUAAUAUGCAGGGCCGCUUAUCUGUCGACCAUACAGUUGGCUCAGAUGUGCAGCGGCUUUCUGACUGCCAAACGUUUAAACCAGCGGGACCCAAUCAGCAGCCAACAGGCAAUUUCGAUGUACAGGCUUCAAGAAACAGUGAAAUUGGUAAUUCUGUGUCAUCUCUCAGGGGAAUGCAGUCACAAGCAUUUCGAAUUGGUCAAAAUACUGGGCCAUCCAUAGAGAGACAGAAGAGAUUGCCCUACCAGCCAGUACAGGGUAUUCCAACAGGAAAUACCCUGCCAUCAAGGGAAAAUGAAAACACGUGCCACCAAAGUUUUAUGCAGAGUUUACUUGCCCCUCACCUUGGAGAUCAAGUGAGUGGAAGCCAAAGAUCAAUCCCAGAACAUCAGAGGAACACGCAGUGUGGUGCCUCCUCCACAAUUGAGUACAACUGUCCCCCAGCGCGAGAGAGCGUCCACAUCCGAAGAGAUGGUGACGGCCAGAGCAGGGAGAGCUGUGACAUGUCUAUCGGUCCAAUUAACACAAGGAACAGUUCUCUGAGUAUUCCUUUUUCAAGUUCUUCUUCCUCAGGAGACAUUCAGGGUCGCAAUACAAGCCCCAACAUCUCUGUGCAGAAGUCCAAUCCCAUGAGGAUGACGGAGAGUCAUGGAACUAAGAGCCACAUGAACACGCCUGUUUCUAGCAACAUGCACGGGGCUGUGAGGCCGACUCACCCUCACCCUGCAGUUUCUCAUGGAAAUGGUGAGCAAGGGCAACCUUCCGUUCGUCAGCCAAAUUCUUCAGUUACUCAGCGGUCGAGGCAUCCUCUGCAAGAUAAUGGAGGUUCUAAAAUACGUCAGCCCGAAAGGAAUCGAUCCGGAAAUCAAAGGCAUGGAAACGUCUUUGACUCUAGCCUUCCCCAUCUUCCCCUGUCCACCAGCGGCAGUAUGAUCCUUGGGCGCCAGCAGCCCGCGAUAGAAAAAAGAGGCAGCAUUGUCCGAUUUAUGUCCGAUGGCCCUCAAGUGUCUAAUGAUAAUGCAGCCCCUGACCAACAUACUCUCUCUCAGAAUUUUGGAUUCCCUUUCAUUCCGGAGGGUGGCAUGAAUCCACCAAUAAAUGCCAAUGCCUCUUUCAUCCCACCAGUCACUCAGCCCAGUGCCACUCGGACACCAGCUCUAAUCCCGGUUGAUCCGCAGAAUACGCUGCCAUCCUUCUACCCGCCUUACUCUCCUGCCCACCCUACCCUUUCCAACGACAUUUCUAUCCCUUACUUUCCCAAUCAGAUGUUUCCUAACCCAAGCACGGAGAAGCCGAGUAGUGGAAGUUUAAACAAUCGAUUUGGAUCCAUUUUGUCUCCUCCCAGGCCUGUUGGGUUUGCUCAGCCAAGUUUUCCUUUGCUUCCAGAUAUGCCGCCGAUGCACAUGACCAACACGUCGCACUUAUCCAAUUUUAACUUAACAUCUUUGUUUCCAGAAAUAGCCACAGCUCUUCCUCCAGAUGGUUCAGCAAUGUCGCCUUUGCUUUCCAUUGCAAACACAUCUGCUUCAGAUUCUUCCAAGCAGUCCUCAAACCGACCUGCCCAUAAUAUAAGCCAUAUUCUAGGUCACGACUGCAGCUCAGCAGUGUGAAAACUGAUAGACUGACUUCUAGUCUGAUGCAUUGUUUAUAUAUUUAAGAAGAAGAAAGUGGAUCUUACUGGCAUCCCUGAAGAGACCAUUCAUAGCAACACUGUUUAUUUGCCUAAAUCUUUCUGGUUUCUGUGAGUGACAGCCCUUUGUUGUACCAGGCAGCACAUGGGAGGAGGACAGAGCCUGUGGCAUCCUGCAAAAUGAGGGGGGAUCCCUGGGGGUGCAGUUCUUACUUACCGUUGCUGACAGGAACGGCCUGAAUUAAUAUCAGUAUUCUGCACUUGAAUGCACCUUUUGUCUAAACGCGUAUGAUUGUGGAACAUGAGUGUGUCAAGACUGAAACGGCGUCGUUGUGAUUUGAGCACCAGGAGGAAGGGGGGUGCGUUUGUGUGUGCAUGAGAGACGGAGUGAAUGCGUGUGCGCCGAGUCUCCAGUACUUCCACAGGUUUCGGUCCUGUUUCUUUUAAAGGAAGGGGAAGAACUAGGUAAGUUUUAUUUAUUUAAUGGCUCUGCAGUGUGCUUUUUUUUUCAAACAAGACAGAAAUAUUUGUCUUUUAUUUUUAUGUGCUUGGAAAUACCAUUCUGGUUUUGAUUUUUCAAAAAACCGAGGAACUUCAGGUUUCCCUGUAUGCAGUCCUCCUCCUACCAGCCAGGGAGUGGCAAAAACUGCUCUGGGGCCUCUUCUCUGGUCAGGGAGAGCCUGAAACACUUGUGUGUUGCCCACCAGUGCAUUGUCUUACUGCUUCUGGGACUUGUCACAGGUUCUUCCCCAAUGCCUCUGCUAGCAGGGGGCUGGGGAGGAACAGGCUCCCUGGGAAAUUUUUUAGGGAUUUUUUUUAAUUUGAAAGUUAGAAAGGAAGGUAUUCCUCCAUCUCCAAGAAUGGGAUCCAGAGAGAGGGACCUGGAAGUUUUUUCCAUAGCUUGACUGCCCGGGCCACAUUUUUGCUGAGUUCUUUUAUACUGAUCCAGGAAAGCAAAGAGGCUUUAGCGUAAAAAAAGAAUUGGGCUGUGUCUGUAGUCUGUCUGGACAAUGUCUCCGCUCUUGAAACCUGGGGUCUGAUGUUUUCCUGCAAAGCUAAGUAAAAUGGUUCUGAUUUAAAUUGGGAAUCACUUUUUAAUUCAGAUGGAGCUUCUCUUAGGACACCAAGUCUAAGUGGUGCAUCAGUUCUCUGUGUUUAUUAAAAAACCCCAGAUUGAAUAUGUAUUUCAUUUCAAAGCAAGGCAGCUUGUGUGAGUGUGACAGUGAAGUGGGCUGCCAAAGUGCAGCUUCUGACCAAAUGGCAGCAAGUGGCCUGUGCAGAGCAGGAGGGUUAGGAAUUACCGCCGGUCCCCAACUCCAGACUGACUAAGCGCACCGCAGGACUGGGUGUUCUCUGAUGAGGCUCUUGAUCAAACUGGUUUCCCUAAGUCACUAGGUCCCAAAGGGGCUUCCUCAGGUGGGGAAAUGAGUCCCCUAACAAUGAGCAUCUCCAUGGGCUGUGGAUGAUAAAGACAGGGGUAUUGAAGCAGCAGCUACACUAUAUGUUACUUACUUGUCCGGGCCUUAGGGCGGGAAGCAAAACAGCCAUUCUCACUCUCUUUAAAUGGCAUUGUGUGUGCAAUGGUGUAUUUGGCUUUCAACACAAAGUAGUGAAAAAUUAAGCCCUGGCUUCCAAGACUUCAUAUAAAGAUGUUAAUCCUGCUCAUCAUUCCAGGCAUUCACAUAGUACCAUAUUAGUUUCUUCUGCUGGGAAAACUACUUCAUGAUUGUCUUUGAAAACUGAAGUAAGCUUGUAAACUUGUACGGACCAGUUGCAACAGCUAAAUGUUCACCAGUCCAUGGGGCCAGAUGGGAUUCACCCGAGGGCUGAAGGAGCUAGCGGGUGUUACGGCAGGGACCCCUCUCAACCAUGUACCAAAGGUCUUGGGAGUCUGGGGAGGUCCCUGCUGACUGGAUGCUGGCCAGUGGUUUUCCAUCUACAAAAAGGGUGUGAGGGGAGAACCCAGGGAACUACACACCUGUUAGUCUAACCUCAGUUCCUGGAAAAAUUGUGGGGAAGAUUAUACAGGUUACUAUUGAAAGGCAUUUAAAAAUAACGUGAUUAUCAGGCACAGUCAACAUGGGCUCAGAAAGGGAAAGACCUAAGUAAUUCGAUAUCCUUCUACAAUAAGGUGAGCCACCAGUGGAUGAAGGGAAGAGAGUGGAGGUAGUUUUUCUGGAUUUUAAUAAGGCUUUUGAUACUGUCCCUCAGAGCAUCCUUCUGAACAAGCUGUCCAACUGUGGGAUGAGCGGGUUCAUGUUGCGCUGGGUGAAGAACUGGCUGAAGGGCAGAGCUCAAAGGGUUGUAGUGAAUGGGGCCACAUCUGGCUGGACCCAGUGCUGUUCCUCAGGGCUCAACUCUAGGGCCAGCCCUGCUCACUACAUUUAUCAGUGAUCUGGGUGCAGGAGUUGAAGGCACCGUUAGCAAGUUUGCUGGUGAUACCAAACUGGGAGGUGCUGUUGACUCUCUCGAGGGAUGAGAUGCCUUGCAGAGGGAUCUAGAUAGAUUGGAGCACUGGGCUCUGAUGAAUGGGAUGAAAUUCAACAAGAACAAAUGCUGGAUUCUGCUCCUGGGACAGAGUAAUGCCAUGCACAAGUGUAAACUGGGAGAGGAGUGUCUGGAGAGCAGCCCUGCAGAGAGGGGUCUGGGGGUGCUGGUCGGCAGCAGGCUCAGUGCGGGUCAGCAGUUGUGCUCUGGCAGCUGAGAGGGCAAACCCCAUCCCGGGGUGCACCAAACACAGCAUGGCCAGCCAGGCAAAAGGGGUCACCAUCCUGCUGUAUUCAGCGCUGGUGCGGCCUCACCUUGAGUGCUGGGUGCAGUUCUGGGCCCCACAAUUUAAGAAGGGUGUCAAGGUCCUCGAAUGUGUCCAGAGGAGGACAACUAAG